UACAGAGGGGGCAAGCGUUGUUCGGAAUUACUGGGCGUAAAGGGCGCGUAGGCGGCCGCCUAAGUCAGACGUGAAAUCCCUCGGCUCAACCGGGGAACUGCGUCUGAUACUGGGUGGCUUGAAUCCGGGAGAGGGAUGCGGAAUUCCAGGUGUAGCGGUGAAAUGCGCAGAUAUCAGGAGGAACACCGGUGGCGAAGGCGGAUCUCUGGGCCUUACCUGACGCUGAGGCGCGAAAGCGUGGGGAGCAAACAGG
rnacentral:rRNA from 1 species